rnacentral:rRNA from 1 species
CAGCAGCCGCGGUAACACCAGCAGCCCAAGUGGUGGUCGCGAUUAUUGGGCCUAAAGCGCUCGUAGCCGGGCCGGUAAGUCCCUUGUGAAAUCGGACGGCCUAACCGUUCGGCGUGCAAGGGAUACUGUCGGUCUUGAGGCCGGGAGACGUCCGAGGUACUCCGGGGGUAGCGGUGGAAUGUUCUGAUCCUCGGGGGACCACCGGUGGCGAAGGCGUUCGACGAGAACGGGCCUGACGGUGAGGGGCGAAGGCUAGGGGAGCAAACGGGAUUAGAUACCCGCGUAGUCCCUGUCUCUUAUA